GACUGCUCUGGUGGCUUAGUGGUUAGAGUAUUCGCCCAAUAUGUGGGAGGUGGGUUCGAUCCCUGGUCAAGUCA